rnacentral:rRNA from 1 species
UCUAGACAUUUACUUUUUAACUUUGUGUAUACGUUAUUGUCAUCGGAAGAAGUCCCAUAUCUAGACGUCAUAAAUAUGGUACGCACCGCUACUACGACUGCGACACCGGGCUGGGCUGGCCCGGAAACCGAAAGUGUGUUUCUUAGCCUAGGCUCCCACACGUACCCUACCUGAGGUGCUACCAAGAGUGCCAGAGUGCUCGGUCUUGAACGCCCGUAGUGGAGAAACGUAAAGAUAAACAAAAAAAAAAAAUGAAAAACGGUAGUGACCUAAGCAGUGCCCGUGUCUCUUCCCCACUUGUAUCAUGAAGAGAGGUGUCGGUUGAGUAUCCGGUCCUUUGUAACGGAUGUCACAUAUAACAUAGCCUAUCAGUCUAAAUUUUUAUUGCAAAACGGUACCAGCAUGUUAGUCCAUGUACCUCAUGUAAUCAACGAAUCCAAAGCAUUAUGUGCCAAGGGUACUACAUACGGUUGUCUCGAGGGCUAACUGACUGCUACAAGUUUAUAUAUUCUCAUGAGAGUAUACUACCAAUGGACGUUGAGAUUGAUACUUUUGAUCUUCACUCAACAAAGGUAGCAAAAGGAUAUUUUAAUAAUUACACUAACGAAAGGAGAGAUAAAAAAAACACCUUCUGUAUAUCCCAACACGGUAUUAAUAUAAUAUCCGUACUUGUUUUAUUCACAAAGAGCUUCUGUACUUGUUUUAUUCAAUAUAAACGAGGUUUGAACGUUUAAACAAUAACCUCAAAAUAUAAGCAAGGUCAACUGUGAUUUUGUAUGAACGUAAUCAAUACGGUAAAAAUACUCCAACAUACGUCGUUUGUUGUACAACGUCAGUAAAAAGAUAUAGGUCAGACGUAUCUUUGUGUGCUAUACGUGAGAGAAAUGUUCGCCCGUUACGUCCUAGAGUGACAAUCAUAUUCUUCGGUUAAGUGAUAAGAUUGAAACAAAAAAAUGACGUCAAUGUAUGAAACAAGUAUUCUAACGACAAUAUAAGACUCGUGUUAGAAACUACAAAAAACAAAGGGAACACGAAUCCGAGUGUUAGACCCGUGUGUAUAAAAGUAGAUCAUAUAAAAAAGUAACAAUUGAUAACGUACACUAAAAAGCAUCCCGAUUCCACUGUUUUUUAAGAAACCACCUUCGACCUUAUAAGAGAACUCAGCACAUUCAAGUCAUCCAUAGAAAGGUUGAGUGACUGAUUUAUUUUACUACAGGUGUUCAACAAAAAGAUAAAGAACCUCAACGAAGGGAACUAAACUCUUUAUCAAUAGACAGGCGAGCCCUAGCCCUUCCCUAUCACACAGCUACCGAAUCGAGGGAAAGAGAUAUCAGGAACCUCGGGUCUAUACCUCCUCAAAUCUCCUAUACAUUAGUUCGGAACGACGGGGAAACGGAAAACAAAACAAACUAAACUCUUAUCUUAGUAGCCACUAUACAUAAAAUCUAAAUCGGGUAACGUUUCUCAUACCCUACGCACUCCGUACUUCAAAGUUUCGAAAAAUCCCGAUAGGAGAAGAGGAUAACAUUUAAUAGACUGAAAGAACAGGAUAGAAUUGAAAUAAACUUAAUACGAAACAUUCUUUAAUAUACUUUACACUUUGAAUAAACCACACAAGUACUAAGGACAAUACUUAUAAAUAAAAAGUUUUUAAGAGGUGAAAAUAUACGGCCGUCUAUUAGAUAAGACGUACGGGUAAAGUUAGAGACAAAAUUGAUGAGAAUACAUGUGUAUAUUUAACACUUUUUGACCCUCUUCAAACUAAUAAGAUCCAACUCAGUACCAAAAACUCAGCGCUGAGUACGCUCAGCGAAACCCCGUCGCUGAGCCUUCUUCAGCUCGGACGCAACACUGAUCAGCGCUGAGACUCAGCGCUCAGCUGUGAUUCGACUCAGCUGGUAUAAAAACGCUGAGUAUCUGAUCAGCAGCUGAUCAGCGCUGAUCAGCUCGCUGAGCUUUAGGUACCCAACUCAUGUACCAGAUUAGUAUACGUGUCCGAACUGAAAGACAGUACUUAGACUCUCCCAUGACUACCACACGUGGCCUCCGUUGAUUUCCAUUUAGUCAUGAAGGUUAAGAUACAUGUGUACGUUUUCCUAACACAAACAAUACUUUUCUUCUGGACUCAAAGUAACAUACUACUGUUCUACUAAUUCUUCAGAAAACAAAACAACGUAAAAAUAAUAUGAGAAAACUCGUAGGAAGAUACAAAAUAAAAGUAAAAAAGUUCGGGGUUAAGUCAUAGAAACAAUAGGUACACGAAUGACGGAAAACACACAAACAUAAAACAGAGUGUCUGUUACUACGUCUUGACUUGUGAUGUUCAUAACCCGGUGAGAGUGCCUUCCUACGAUAGUUCCAGUAGGGUUUCCGGUAAGAGUUACAACAAGAACGAGUCUACCCAAACGAGCUACGUUUCAUUUACUGAACGUACACGGUAGCACAAAUUCCCACGAUGACAGAUGAACACCGUAAGUAACCUUGACUAUUUUUUAAUACCGCCUCUGGUCGAUGACUACAAUUACUCCGGUACGUUUCACGACGAUGACUCACAGACUCUACAGAACACCCGUACUACUCUCUAACUCAAACUAUAGGGGUUCACUUUUUCUACUUCCUACUCUACCCUGGGGAGGGUACGUUAUAGCUACCGUACUACUCUCUAACUCAAUAACGGUACGAAAGACUCAACCACGUUUAUACGUAGACAAGACGGGGAUAACAUCUAAUACACACAAGACCUACCCAGUAUAGUCCGUCAGUUACAGAUAUAUUUUUACGGUGGGGAACGGAUAACAUCAGAUUUAUAUACACAUAGGAUGUAGCCACGAUGGUCUGUCUGACCUACAAUAAGACAUAGUACGUGUGUGGGGUGACAAUAAUAACCAUUUUUGUAUACAUGGUGUAAAUAGAGAAAAGAACGUUUGAUACGAAUUAUGGUUACAUGUUGCCAGGAAAGGAAGUAUUACAUGAGGACCAGAUAAAAUAGUAAGUUGUUAAUUCUGAUAUCUUCCAUAGUACGGAACGAAACUCAAUAAAAGUAAGACGAAAUUUAUAAAUCAUCUAACAACGAAUAAAAGUGAAAGUUAAUAUAACAAUGGCCCAAUGAUUACCAUUGUACGGGUUAAUUGGAUUAUCUAAUAAAAUGGGAAAAGUUACUUACAUCGAGAUACGGUAGACACAAUGGUAGUUCUCUUCCAUAUACGAGCUUCUUCGAUAGUUUGACUAGCUGCCAUGUUAAGUACGUAAGCUUGAACGACCACGACUACUACGGUAUCAUUACCGUAGUCACUUUUAGCUAGAGACGGGGGUGUUGUUUUCGUAUAAUGGCUGAGUUGUACUUAUAAUACCUCUUAGUUGAGUCGAACGGUCGCCACGAUAACUCAGUUGUACAAGACGACGAAAUCGGAUAGAUGACUGGUACCCGUAUUAAUGUUCUCUACUAGGGUUGAACCACCUCGAGUUCUUUACUGUUUCUGUUGAGUUUCGAUUCAUCCAGUAGUCACAAUAUACCAGCACGCGUUAGGAAAGUCUUAGUCGAGCGGAGAAACUGGUACUCUUGUGAGGUCGUUGAUUUUCACAGUUGUUUAAUCUCCAUUAGUGUCAUAACCAGUCGAAAAGUGAACGUAAUGAACGUAUGUUUACUUGUAAUUGGAGAUCCUACCGGAAUGGCUUUGACGCCCGAGUGUCGGUGGUUUGCUCAUUGUAUGGGAGGGAGGGUGAGAAGUCUGAAAAUGUUGAUAUAUGUAAUGAGUACAAACAACGAAAGGGUCACUUUGUCUGGUGUCCAGGUUUUGUUUCAGGGUCGGAUGAUGGGCGUCCUGAAAUCAGAAAUUUCUGAUUUACGUGCCUAGCGUAGAUAGCUGAUAGUGACACUUAGAGUUUUCUGUGCGAAGUAAGAAUACGGAGAAUAUUCGGGCAACGGUAUACGUGUGCGAAGUAAGAAUACGGAGAAUAUUCGGGCAACGGUAUACGUGAAGCGGAAAUAAACCUGAUCCAUUGUGAUAGACAGGACCAUUUUAAUAGAAGAGAUAUCCAUGUUCGGACUUAAACACCAGAGAAAACCAUCUGCGCCAUACAUUACUGCUUAGUGCAGCUGGAGGCAGAUUUACGUACCUUGAACGGUGACUUAAUAGACUUGACGACGGGUCCUAAGUUAAGUAUGAAAUAAAUGGAUAUUAUACCAUACAUUACUGUUCCUUCAGCUCC